GAUAAACGCUAGCGGCGUGCCUUAUGCAUGCAAGUCGAACGGGGUGCCGCAAGGCACCAAGUGGCAAACGGGUGAGUAAUACGUAAGUAACCUACCCCUAAGUGGGGGGAUACCCCUGGGAAACUAGGGCUAAUACCGCGUGUGGUCUUUCUUCACAAGAGGGGAGACUAAAGCCGUAAGGCGCUUGGGGGACGGGCUUGCGUCCGAUUAGCUAGUUGGUAGGGUAAUAGCCUACCAAGGCGAAGAUCGGUAGCUGAUCUGAGAGGAUGACCAGCCACACUGGGACUGAGACACGGCCCAGACUCCUACGGGAGGCAG
rnacentral:rRNA from 1 species